UACGGAGGGUGCAAGCGUUAUCCGGAUUCACUGGGUUUAAAGGGUGCGUAGGUGGGGAGGUAAGUCAGUGGUGAAAUCCCCCGAGCUUAACUUGGGAACUGCCAUUGAUACUAUCUCUCUUGGAUACCUUGGAGGUGAGCGGAAUAUGUCAUGUAGCGGUGAAAUGCUUAGAUAUGACAUAGAACACCAAUUGCGAAGGCAGCUCACUACACGGUAAUUGACACUGAGGCACGAAAGCGUGGGGAUCAAACAGG
rnacentral:rRNA from 1 species